CCUCGGGGCGGGGAGGGGAGGGACGCCGCGGAGCCAGCAUGAUUGGCUGCUCUUGACGUGCCAGCCCCGGGAGGCGGGCGGUAGAGGAGUCCCCGGAUACAUGCCUGUGAAUGUUGAACUCUCCGAGAAUCAGACUGGGCAUGGAAAAGAAGAGAAAGAUGGCCCUUUCAAGUGAAUCAUUUGAGAGGCUGCCGGUGUUUAAUAAGUCGGGCUGGCGGCACUACAAGACGACGCCCGAAGCCGACGACUGGAGCGACCCCAGCAACGAACCCAGGGACGCUUCCAAAUAUAAGGCCGACCCGUAAUUCCCUCCCCACUUCCCCGCUUCCCCGUCGCGGCGUCUGCCCGUCCAUCUUCCCGUCCCCCGGGUCCCGCCGCACGGCAAGGGAGGGCCCCGGGAUCGAGAGACGGGACGGGGAGGGCACAGAACGGUUUUCGGGGAGUGAGUUUUCACGCCCAGGAUGGUCACGGCAUUGCCAGAGACUGUGGCGUUUUUUUUUUUUUGUUUUUGUUGUGGAAAUGAUAUCUGUAAAAGCCCUUAAUCUGCGGCAGGCACUGCAGUCAAUCGGUCGGUCGUGUUCGUUGAGUGCUCACUGUGUGCGGAGCACUGUGUCGAGCGUCGUGGAGGGUGCAGAGUCACAGUAAACCUACGCAUCCCUUGGC